ensembl:rRNA 5S_rRNA 5S ribosomal RNA
GCUUGCGGCCACACCUCCCUCAGCACCCCCAAACUCGUCUGAUCUGGGAAGCUAAGCAGGGUCGGGCCCGGUUAGUACUUGGAUCGGAGACUGCCUGGGAAUACCAGGUGUGCAGUAAGCC